AACAUCGCCUCUUGAAUAAAUAUAAGAGGUCCAGCCUGCCCAGUGACAAUGUUCAACGGCCGCGGUAUCCUAACCGUGCGAAGGUAGCGUAAUCACUUGUUCUUUAAAUAAGGACUAGUAUGAAUGGCACCACGAAGGUUACACUGUCUCCUCUUUCUAAUCAGUGAAACUAAUCUCCCCGUGAAGAAGCGGGGAUAAAAAUAUAAGACGAGAAGACCCUAUGGAGCUUUAAACUACAAGGCACUUGCCACCGUAUAAUCAAAUUCCAGAAAAUCAUUACCACCCAGGCAACAUGACCCUUAGUUUUAGGUUGGGGUGACCGCGGAGCAAAGAAAAACCUCCACAUUGAAAGGAGACCUCUCCUUAGCCAAGAGCCACACCUCUAAGCACCAACAAAAAGACAUUAAUUGACCCAAUAUUUUUGAUCAACGAACCAAGUUACCCUAGGGAUAACAGCGCAAUCCACUUCAAGAGCUCCUAUCGACAAGUGGGUUUACGACCUCGAUGUUGGAUCAGGGUAUCCCGGUGGUGCAGCCGCUACCAAAGGUUCGUUUGUU
rnacentral:rRNA from 1 species